rnacentral:rRNA from 1 species
UACAGAGGUCUCAAGCGUUGUUCGGAUUCAUUGGGCGUAAAGGGUGCGUAGGCGGCGCGGUAAGUCGGGUGUGAAAUCUCGGGGCUUAACUCCGAAACUGCAUUCGAUACUGCCGUGCUUGAGGACUGGAGAGGAGACUGGAAUUUACGGUGUAGCGGUGAAAUGCGUAGAUAUCGUGAAGGAAGACCAGUGGCGAAGGCGGGUCUC